rnacentral:tRNA from 1 species
GGAGAGAUGGCUCAGCAGUUAAGAGCACUGUCUUUGGGGGCUGGAGACAUGGAUCAGUGGUUAAGAGCACUGAGUGUUCUUUCAGAGGACCUGGGUUCAAUUCCCAGACCCACCU